rnacentral:rRNA from 1 species
CCUACGGGAGGCAGCAGUGGGGAAUAUUGGGCAAUGGGCGCAAGCCUGACCCAGCAACGCCGCGUGAAGGAAGAAGGUCCUCGGGUUGUAAACUUCUUUUCUAUAGGACGAAGAAGUGACGGUACUAUAGGAAUACGCCACGGCGAACUACGUGCCAGCAGCCGCGGUAAUACAUAGGUGGCGAGCGUUAUCCGGAUUUACGGGGUGUAAAGGGCGUGUAGGCGGGAGAGCAAGUUAGAUGUGAACACUCCAGGCUUAACCGGUAGCCUGCAUUUGAAACUGAUCUUCUUGAGUGAUGGAGAGGCAAGCGGAAUUCCUAGUGUAGCGGUGAAAUGCGUAGAUAUUAGGAGGAACACCAGUGGCGAAGGCGGCCUUCUGGACAUUAACUGACGCUGAGGCGCGAAAGCGUGGGGAGCAAACAGGAUUAGAUACCCGGGUAGUC